UAACACAUGCAAGUCGGGCGGUAACAGGGAGUGCUUGCACUUCGCUGACGAGCGGCGGACGGGUGAGUAAUGCAUAGGAAUCUGCCUGGUAGUGGGGGAUAGCCCAGAGAAAUUUGGAUUAAUACCGCAUACGCCCUACGGGGAAAGCAGGGGGGACUCUUCGGAGCCUUGCGCUAUCAGAUGAGCCUAUGUCGGAUUAGCUUGUUGGUGAGGUAACGGCUCACCAAGGCGACGAUCCGUAGCUGGUCUAAGAGGAUGAUCAGCCACACAGGGACUGAGACACGGCCCAGACUCCUACGGGAGGCAGCAGUGGGGAAUAUUGGACAAUGGGCGCAAGCCUGAUCCAGCCAUGCCGCGUGUGUGAAGAAGGCCUUCGGGUUGUAAAGCACUUUCAGCGAGGAGGAAAGGGGUGUUGCUAAUAUCAACGCCCUGUGACGUUACUCGCAGAAGAAGCACCGGCUAACUCCGUG
rnacentral:rRNA from 1 species